GAUCAUGGCUCAGGAUGAACGCUAGCUACAGGCUUAACACAUGCAAGUCGAGGGGCAGCAUGGUCUUAGCUUGCUAAGACCGAUGGCGACCGGCGCACGGGUGAGUAACACGUAUCCAACCUGCCGUCUACUCUUGGACAGCCUUCUGAAAGGAGGAUUAAUACAAGAUGGCAUCAUGAGUCCACAUGUUCACAUGAUUAAAGGUAUUCCGGUAGACGAUGGGG
rnacentral:rRNA from 1 species